CCUACGGGAGGCAGCAGUGAGGAAUAUUGGUCAAUGGGCGCGAGCCUGAACCAGCCAAGUAGCGUGCAGGAUGACGGCCCUAUGGGUUGUAAACUGCUUUUAUGCGGGGAUAAAGUGCAGCACGUGUGCUGUUUUGUAGGUACCGCAUGAAUAAGGACCGGCUAAUUCCGUGCCAGCAGCCCGCGGUAAU
rnacentral:rRNA from 1 species